UACGAAGGGGGCUAGCGUUGCUCGGAAUCACUGGGCGUAAAGGGUGCGUAGGCGGGUUUUUAAGUCAGGGGUGAAAUCCUGGAGCUCAACUCCAGAACUGCCUUUGAUACUGAAGAUCUUGAGUCCGGGAGAGGUGAGUGGAACUGCGAGUGUAGAGGUGAAAUUCGUAGAUAUUCGCAAGAACACCAGUGGCGAAGGCGGCUCACUGGCCCGGUACUGACGCUGAGGCACGAAAGCGUGGGGAGCAAUCAGG
rnacentral:rRNA from 1 species